ACAGGUGGAAAUUAGACCUUCCCAAACGCUGAUGAAAAUACAUGAGCUAUAUUGUCCUCUUGGGGGUUAUGGAGUAACUAAACCCCACACUCAACUCCAUCGGCUUCUGUCACCUUCCUAGAGCUCAUUUCCAAAAGGAAAUAACACCUGCCCCAAAUCUCCACCUGCCACGGCCACCUCUCUGAACCCCCAGCUGCCAGGGGCUGACAGUAAGUCACAGAAGCAUAUUGAUUUCUCAAGGGAAAGAUGAGCAAAGUGAAUACAGAACUCCUCCGUGCACAGGAUGAAAAACCUUGUCCAGGAAGGAAAAUGAGAGGCCACGUAUUCCAGAGGGCAGGCCUACGAAAUGGUGGAGCCCUGCCUGGACCUGCAUCAUCACUGAAUGAACAGAAUGACCAACACCCCGGUUUGCCUUGGGACGCUGGAGUUCCGGGUGUCAGGACUGUCAGCAAGAUCCUGACAUGGUGAUGACGAAGAAUGAAACAAUAAGAAGUUGAAUUACAUUGUACAAGACGCGAAUGUCACGGAGAAUACCUGAUUUCACAUUUUCAUCAUCACAAAAGGCUGGUUUCCCCAGCGUCUGAUCUUACGUGUGGUAUAUAUUAACAUUCUGAAUGUCUUGAAUUUAAGAGGUGAAAAAAAUACUAAUAUUAUCUACUUUCUUUUUUUAAAAUUUUUUUUAAUGUUUAUUGAUUUUUGAGAGAGACAGAGACAGGAUGCGAGGGGGUUAGGGGCAGAGAGAGAGGGAGACGCAGAAUCCG